rnacentral:rRNA from 1 species
UAUGGUCAAGUGAAGAAGCGCAUACGGUGGAUGCCUUGGCAGUCAGAGGCGAUGAAAGACGUGGUAGCCUGCGAAAAGCUUCGGGGAGUCGGCAAACAGACUGUGAUCCGGAGAUGUCUGAAUGGGGGAACCCAGCCAUCAUAAGAUGGUUAUCUUGUACUGAAUACAUAGGUGCAAGAGGCGAACCAGGGGAACUGAAACAUCUAAGUACCCUGAGGAAAAGAAAUCAACCGAGAUUCCCUUAGUAGUGGCGAGCGAACGGGGACCAGCCCUUAAGUUGUAUUGAGAUUAGCGGAACGUUCUGGAAAGGACGGCCAUAGUGGGUGAUAGCCCUGUACGCGAAAAUCCCUUUGCAAUGAAAUCGAGUAGGACGGGGCACGAGAAACCUUGUCUGAAUAUGGGGGGACCAUCCUCCAAGGCUAAAUACUACUGACUGACCGAUAGUGAACCAGUACCGUGAGGGAAAGGCGAAAAGAACCGCGGAGAGCGGAGUGAAAUAGAUCCUGAAACCGUAUGCGUACAAGCAGUGGGAGCCCACUUUGUUGGGUGACUGCGUACCUUUUGUAUAAUGGGUCAGCGACUUAUUUUCAGUGGCGAGCUUAACCGAAUAGGGGAGGCGUAGCGAAAGCGAGUCUUAAUAGGGCGUCUAGUCGCUGGGAAUAGACCCGAAACCGGGCGAUCUAUCCAUGGGCAGGUUGAAGGUUGGGUAACACUAACUGGAGGACCGAACCGACUACCGUUGAAAAGUUAGCGGAUGACCUGUGGAUCGGAGUGAAAGGCUAAUCAAGCUCGGAGAUAGCUGGUUCUCCUCGAAAGCUAUUUAGGUAGCGCCUCAUGUAUCACUGUAGGGGGUAGAGCACUGUUUCGGCUAGGGGGUCAUCCCGACUUACCAAACCGAUGCAAACUCCGAAUACCUACAAGUGCCGAGCAUGGGAGACACACGGCGGGUGCUAACGUCCGUCGUGAAAAGGGAAACAACCCAGACCGUCAGCUAAGGUCCCAAAGUCAUGGUUAAGUGGGAAACGAUGUGGGAAGGCUUAGACAGCUAGGAGGUUGGCUUAGAAGCAGCCACCCUUUAAAGAAAGCGUAAUAGCUCACUAGUCGAGUCGGCCUGCGCGGAAGAUGUAACGGGGCUCAAACCAUGCACCGAAGCUACGGGUAUCAUCUUUUGAUGAUGCGGUAGAGGAGCGUUCUGUAAGCCUGUGAAGGUGAGUUGAGAAGCUUGCUGGAGGUAUCAGAAGUGCGAAUGCUGACAUGAGUAACGACAAUGGGUGUGAAAAACACCCACGCCGAAAGACCAAGGUUUCCUGCGCAACGUUAAUCGACGCAGGGUUAGUCGGUCCCUAAGGCGAGGCUGAAAAGCGUAGUCGAUGGAAAACAGGUUAAUAUUCCUGUACUUCUGGUUAUUGCGAUGGAGGGACGGAGAAGGCUAGGCCAGCCUGGCGUUGGUAGUCCAGGUUUAAGGUGGUAGGCUGAGAUCUUAGGUAAAUCCGGGAUCUUAAGGCCGAGAGCUGAUGACGAGUGUUCUUUUAGAACAUGAAGUGGUUGAUGCCAUGCUUCCAAGAAAAGCUUCUAAGCUUCAGGUAACCAGGAACCGUACCCCAAACCGACACAGGUGGUUGGGUAGAGAAUACCAAGGCGCUUGAGAGAACUCGGGUGAAGGAACUAGGCAAAAUGGCACCGUAACUUCGGGAGAAGGUGCGCCGGUGGAGGUGAAGCAUUUACUGCGUAAGCCCCUGCCGGUCGAAGAUACCAGGCCGCUGCGACUGUUUAUUAAAAACACAGCACUCUGCAAACACGAAAGUGGACGUAUAGGGUGUGACGCCUGCCCGGUGCCGGAAGGUUAAUUGAUGGGGUUAGCGCAAGCGAAGCUCUUGAUCGAAGCCCCGGUAAACGGCGGCCGUAACUAUAACGGUCCUAAGGUAGCGAAAUUCCUUGUCGGGUAAGUUCCGACCUGCACGAAUGGCGUAACGAUGGCGGCGCUGUCUCCACCCGAGACUCAGUGAAAUUGAAAUCGCUGUGAAGAUGCAGUGUAUCCGCGGCUAGACGGAAAGACCCCGUGAACCUUUACUAUAGCUUUGCACUGGACUUUGAAUUUGCUUGUGUAGGAUAGGUGGGAGGCUUUGAAGCGUGGACGCCAGUCUGCGUGGAGCCAACCUUGAAAUACCACCCUGGCAACUUUGAGGUUCUAACUCAGGUCCGUUAUCCGGAUCGAGGACAGUGUAUGGUGGGUAGUUUGACUGGGGCGGUCUCCUCCUAAAGAGUAACGGAGGAGUACGAAGGUGCGCUCAGACCGGUCGGAAAUCGGUCGUAGAGUAUAAAGGCAAAAGCGCGCUUGACUGCGAGACAGACACGUCGAGCAGGUACGAAAGUAGGUCUUAGUGAUCCGGUGGUUCUGUAUGGAAGGGCCAUCGCUCAACGGAUAAAAGGUACUCCGGGGAUAACAGGCUGAUACCGCCCAAGAGUUCAUAUCGACGGCGGUGUUUGGCACCUCGAUGUCGGCUCAUCACAUCCUGGGGCUGAAGCCGGUCCCAAGGGUAUGGCUGUUCGCCAUUUAAAGUGGUACGCGAGCUGGGUUUAGAACGUCGUGAGACAGUUCGGUCCCUAUCUGCCGUGGACGUUUGAGAUUUGAGAGGGGCUGCUCCUAGUACGAGAGGACCGGAGUGGACGAACCUCUGGUGUUCCGGUUGUCACGCCAGUGGCAUUGCCGGGUAGCUAUGUUCGGAAAAGAUAACCGCUGAAAGCAUCUAAGCGGGAAACUUGCCUCAAGAUGAGAUCUCACUGGAACCUUGAGUUCCCUAAAGGGCCGUCGAAGACUACGACGUUGAUAGGUUGGGUGUGUAAGCGCUGUGAGGCGUUGAGCUAACCAAUACUAAUUGCCCGUGAGGCUUGACCAUA